AACGAACGCUGGCGGCAUGCCUAACACAUGCAAGUCGAACGAGACCUUCGGGUCUAGUGGCGCACGGGUGCGUAACGCGUGGGAACCUGCCCUUAGGUUCGGAAUAACUCCCCGAAAGGGGUGCUAAUACCGGAUAAUGUCUUCGGACCAAAGAUUUAUCGCCUUUGGAUGGGCCCGCGUUGGAUUAGCUAGUUGGUAGGGCAAAAGCCUACCAAGGCGACGAUCCAUAGCUGGUCUGAGAGGAUGAUCAGCCACACUGGGACUGGGACACGGCCCAGACUCCUACGGAGGGCGGCAGGGGGGAAUAUUGGACAGUGGGCGAAAGCCUGAUCCAGCAAUGCCGGGUAAGUGAUGAAGGCCUUGGGGUGGUAAGCUCUUUUACCCGGGAUGAUAAUGACAGUACCGGGAGAAUAAGCUCCGGCUAACUCCGUG
rnacentral:rRNA from 1 species